rnacentral:hammerhead_ribozyme from 1 species
AUCCAGGUGACGAGUCCCAAAUAGGACGAAAUGCACGUCGUGGAU